GCCCUUGUGGCGGAAUUGGUAGACGCAGCAGACUCAAAAUCUGCCGUUCUUUUGAGCAUGGGAGUUCGAGUCUCCCCGAGGGCACCA
rnacentral:tRNA from 1 species